rnacentral:rRNA from 1 species
GGUCCAGCCUGCCCAGUGACUAAGUUCAACGGCCGCGGUACCCUAACCGUGCGAAGGUAGCAUAAUCACUUGUUCUUUAAAUGGGGACUUGUAUCAACGGCACCACGAGGGCUGCACUGUCUCCUUUCUUCAAUCAGUGAAACUGAUCUCCCCGUGAAGAAGCGGGGAUUAAACUAUAAGACGAGAAGACCCCAUGGAGCUUCAAACUCAUCAUACAACCCUGUUCUCCACAUCCUCAUAACAUAAGAGAUAUGUAUGAUAGUUUUGGGGUUGGGGGGACCUCGGAGUAUAACUUAACCUCCUAAGCAAACAGGUUAACACCUUUAUCCAUGAGAAACACCUCUAAGAACUAUUAAAUUAAUGUAUUUGACCCGAUAAUCGAUCAAUGAACCAAGUUACCCUGGGGAUAACAGCGCAAUCUACUUCAAGAGUUCCUAUCGACAAGUGGGUUUACGACCUCGAUGUUGGAUCAGGGUAUCCUAGUGGUGCAACCGCUACUAACGGUUCGUUUGUUCAACGAUUAAAACCCU